UCCCCGGUAGCUCAGAAGUUAAAGCGUCUGCCUGUAAUGUGGGAGACCAAGGUUCGAUCCCUGGUUUGGGAA
rnacentral:tRNA from 1 species